AGAGUUUGAUCCUGGCUCAGGACGAACGCUGGCGGCGUGCCUAAUACAUGCAAGUCGUACGCUUUUUUUCCACCGGAGCUUGCUCCACCGGAAAAAGAAGAGUGGCGAACGGGUGAGUAACACGUGGGUAACCUGCCCAUCAGAAGGGGAUAACACUUGGAAACAGGUGCUAAUACCGUAUAACAAUCGAAACCGCAUGGUUUUGAUUUGAAAGGCGCUUUCGGGUGUCGCUGAUGGAUGGACCCGCGGUGCAUUAGCUAGUUGGUGAGGUAACGGCUCACCAAGGCCACGAUGCAUAGCCGACCUGAGAGGGUGAUCGGCCACAUUGGGACUGAGACACGGCCCAAACUCCUACGGGAGGCAGCAGUAGGGAAUCUUCGGCAAUGGACGAAAGUCUGACCGAGCAACGCCGCGUGAGUGAAGAAGGUUUUCGGAUCGUAAAACUCUGUUGUUAGAGAAGAACAAGGAUGAGAGUAACUGUUCAUCCCUUGACGGUAUCUAACCAGAAAGCCACGGCUAACUACGUGCCAGCAGCCGCGGUAAUACGUAGGUGGCAAGCGUUGUCCGGAUUUAUUGGGCGUAAAGCGAGCGCAGGCGGUUUCUUAAGUCUGAUGUGAAAGCCCCCGGCUCAACCGGGGAGGGUCAUUGGAAACUGGGAGACUUGAGUGCAGAAGAGGAGAGUGGAAUUCCAUGUGUAGCGGUGAAAUGCGUAGAUAUAUGGAGGAACACCAGUGGCGAAGGCGGCUCUCUGGUCUGUAACUGACGCUGAGGCUCGAAAGCGUGGGGAGCAAACAGGAUUAGAUACCCUGGUAGUCCACGCCGUAAACGAUGAGUGCUAAGUGUUGGAGGGUUUCCGCCCUUCAGUGCUGCAGCUAACGCAUUAAGCACUCCGCCUGGGGAGUACGACCGCAAGGUUGAAACUCAAAGGAAUUGACGGGGGCCCGCACAAGCGGUGGAGCAUGUGGUUUAAUUCGAAGCAACGCGAAGAACCUUACCAGGUCUUGACAUCCUUUGACCACUCUAGAGAUAGAGCUUCCCCUUCGGGGGCAAAGUGACAGGUGGUGCAUGGUUGUCGUCAGCUCGUGUCGUGAGAUGUUGGGUUAAGUCCCGCAACGAGCGCAACCCUUAUUGUUAGUUGCCAUCAUUUAGUUGGGCACUCUAGCAAGACUGCCGGUGACAAA
rnacentral:rRNA from 1 species